UACACUCCUGCGGGAGGCAGCAGUGGGGAAUUUUGGACAAUGGGGGCAACCCUGAUCCAGCAAUGCCGCGUGAGUGAAGAAGGCCUUCGGGUUGUAAAGCUCUUUUGUCAGGGAAGAAACGGUAGUAGCGAAUAACUAUUACUAAUGACGGUACCUGAAGAAUAAGCACCGGCUAACUACGUGCCAGCAGCCGCGGUAAUACGUAGGGUGCAAGCGUUAAUCGGAAUUACUGGGCGUAAAGCGUGCGCAGGCGGUUGUGUAAGUCAGAUGUGAAAUCCCCGGGCUCAACCUGGGAAUUGCAUUUGAGACUGCACGGCUAGAGGGUGUCAGAGGGGGGUAGAAUUCCACGUGUAGCAGUGAAAUGCGUAGAUAUGUGGAGGAAUACCGAUGGCGAAGGCAGCCCCCUGGGAUAACACUGACGCUCAUGCACGAAAGCGUGGGGAGCAAACAGGAUUAGAAACCCCAGUAGUCCCAUGA
rnacentral:rRNA from 1 species